rnacentral:lncRNA from 1 species
UGGAACCAACAAUAAGGCAGUUCCGUUACAUGUUCUGUUUCAACAAUUUUGUUCAAGAAUUCAAUGAACAAAAGAAGAACCUGGCUUUGACUCUUGAUCGUUUGCAAAACGCUGUCGAAGUUGCUGAAAGAAAUGCUGAAGAAAUUGAGAAGGAUGUCAACAAAUGGUUGGAAGAUGCAAAAAACGAAAUUGAAGGUGUUAAUCGUUUGGAAAAUGAAAAGGGAAAAAAUAGCAAAUGCUUUAAUUGGUGUCCAAAUUGGAUACCACAAUUCAAGUUAAGCAAGGCCCUGGCAAAAAAGAUAGAGACUUUGAAAAAACUUGAAGAAAAUAGACCAUAGAUAUAGUUACAUGCAUAACUUAUUAGAUUAAUUAUAUUUGUGUCAUUUAUGUAGGUGUUUAACUAAUCAUCAUGAAUUUCUCCUUCGUUUAUCACUACAACAUUUAACAGUUUUAUUGACGGACCAAAUCUGUCGGUGUAAGAUUGCCACUUCAUCAUUAAAUUUUUUACCGACUAAAUUCCCGACGGAAAGCGUCCAUCGACAUAGCAUUCGUCAGUAAUUCGACAUUCUGUCGGUAAAAAAAAAUACAGAUGGUUUUACAGACGGAAAAUGCGUGCCAAAAAAAAAUUCCCACUAAACAUAUACCGACAUAAAUAUUCCAUCGAUGAUCGCGGCAUAUGCAGUAAAUAUUUUUCAACUCUCUGUAAAAUACCGGCGGAAAAAUUCCGUCUGGAAAUCCGUCGGUGGUGUUUUUUUAAAAUUAAAAAAAAAACUCAUUUAUAAUAAAUAAUAUAAAAUUAUAUAAAUUAAUAGUAAAAAAACCAAUUAUGCAAAUAAAAUUGUAUUAAACAUCAAAAAUAGAAAAAUAAAGUUAAAUAAUACUCAUCCAAAUAUUCAUUACAAAUUUAAUGUGUUUCCAAAAAAAUAAAUUAAACUAGAACAAUGGUGGAGCUGGAGGGUGAGGAGGAGGUGGUGGAGGCUGGUCAUUUCCGGGACCAAACAACAAAUAUGUAUCACCCAUAUGUGAUCUAAUGUUCAUGACCAUUUGGCGGAGUUGUUCAUAAUUCACCGACGGUUGCUUGUAUUUUUCGAUGAGAUGAGUCGUGUGUUGCUGCAAGGCCACGAACUCCUUAGAUUGGGUGCUCGAUAUUGAUUAGGAGCUCCCAACGGUUGAGACAUUACGGGUCGCCUGCAAGUUCUCGGCCAUAGUAUUGGAGAGCCCGUACACCCGAUUUUUAUCGAGUCCACCAGACAAUCCUACCUUCAUCCACAAAUCCAGAUCGAAAUUCGGAUGGGACGAAGAAUCGUCCCCAUAUAUCUCCCUCAACCGGCUAUUAUAGGUCUCUUGAAAAUGAAAAUAGAAAUCAUCAUAUUCAAUUCAAGAAAAAUAAUAACUUACGAAAUAAAAUGGUUGAACGAACAUACCACGAAGUGUUGAACGCGGUUGUCAACGAACUGUUGCACCCCUUUUUGGUGGUUUUCACUCUGUACGUGCGUCUCUACAAACAGCUCCAUUGGACUCGGCUCACGUCCAAGAGACGUAGCCUAUAAGAAGAAAAAUUAAUUAAGUAACAACAAAUUUAUUAACGAUAUAUUUCAUUUAAAUUAAUCUUACCAUCCGUUUCGCAUGUGUAGCAAACGGAACGAAGCUAUCGGUGUGCGUGGUCACCGAACCAUGAAUUUGCCGGUUCCGAUUGUCAGCACCAGACUGUGAGCGUCGUGUGAAUUGUUCAAACAUCACGUGCUCAAUAUAUUGCAGCCAUAUAUCCCCCGGGAUGUAUUGCGGUUUGAAAUCCCUCCAAACCACCACGCAUUCCAACCUUGUAGACCGUUAUUUUCUGGCGUAUUUUUUUGCUUUUUUUUGUUCCCUCCAAACCGCCACGUCAUUCCAACCUUGUAGACCGUUAUUUUCUCGCGUAUUUUUUUGCUUUUUUUGGUGCUUCAUACUAAAAAUCACACAACCUACUUCUAUAGUGACAAAUUAGAUUUUAAAACAUAAUUUUUUUUAAAAAAAUAUUGUAUUGUUUUCGAUGUUACCUAGUUGCCACGUGAUUUUCGUACACCCUCCUCGCAACAUUGUCAUGCGCACUAUCCCACUUGAAUUUGUGUUGUGUAUAAAUAAUUUAUUUAAAAUAAAAAUAAUAAUUUAUUUAUAAUUAUAAUAAUAAUUUAUUAAAGAUAAGCUGGAAAUUAGAAAUUAACACCAAUUUGAAAUCUUCGAAAUCAUGCAUCGAUAUAAGGUCUCCAUUCAGGAUGUCUGGAAACCUGACUCCAUUGAAAUAAUAGAAUCUCCAUCGACGAUUUAAACACCAAUGAUAUUAAUCGGGCGACCUCAAAGUUUCUGACCCUGAAAAUAAAUUAAAAAAAUAAAAAUUUGAUUAGUUGUUCAUAAAUUAUGUUAUAAUUAAAAAAAAACUAAAACCAAAAAAAACUUAGAAAUUGUAGAUUUGAAUGUUAACUAACCAAGGAAACUGGUCUUGCUCAAUUUGGAAAUGUAGAACUCCAGUUAUGGGUUACCAACUGAGACUGAGUCGUGAUUGAUUAUGUAGGGCAGUAGGACUAAUUAGUAAAUGAACAAUUUUGACUAUCUUGGAGGCAAAACUGGGUUCUCCUCCCUCAAAGAACUAGUAGCCUCGUGUCUUAACUUUCUAACGAGAUCAAUCUCCGUUAAAAUGGAGUUUUAGAACUUUAGAUAUAGUUAAAAAUCUGAUGAGUGUUCAGACAGUAACAGUUGGAAAUUGGACAGUAACAGAUCAAAGUCAAACAGUAAUAGUUCAAAGUCAGACAGUAACGGUUGGAAAAGUCAAACAGUAACAGUUCAAAGUCAGACAGUAACCGUUGGAAAUUGGACAGUAACAGUUUAAAGUUAGACAGUAACAGUUGGAAAUUAGACAGUAACAGUUGGAAAUUAGACAGUAACAAUAGACUUUCAUGUGAAUACUAUAAAUAAAAAUAUAAAAGAAUUGAGUCAUACGAACACUUAUAUAUUGAGAUAUUAACUCUGAAAAUAUACAUGAUAUAUGUAUGUAUGUUAUUAUGAGGAAAUGAACAUGCAUAGAAAGUAACAUAUGAGUAAUGGAUGAAUAUGAAUUCUCUAUAAUAUCGGCUUGAAAGAAUCAUAACAAAAAAAAAGAAAACUUCCUUGUGAUUCAGGAGGAGCAACCAGGAUUGGAUCUUCUGUUAGGGGAGGUCGUGAGACAGGCGAAGCAGGUGCGUGAUUUUCCCUCCUAUUUACACUUAUACAAUUUAGAAUCCUUCUGGUGAAUGCAAUUAUAAUAAAUAUCGUGUUCAAUAUAAAUAAAUCCUAGUGUAUUUACAAGAUUAGCUUCGGCUAAUGGCAUCCGUGAUAGGAUUGCCAGGAAAAUUUACAUGAUUAGCUUCGGCUAAUGGCAUCCGUGAUAGGAUUGCCGGGAAAAUGAUUCACACGAUUAGCUUCAGCUAAUGGCAUUCGUGAUAGGAUUGCCGAGAUAUGAUUGAUAUGAUUAGCUUCGGCUAAUGGCAUCCGUGAUAGGACUGCCGGGAAAUGAUUUACACAAUUAGCUUCGGCUAAUGGCAUCCGUGAUAGGAUUGCCGGGAAAUGAAUUACAGGAUUAAACCUUACAAGGUCACCCAGUUUAUGCAAGUAAAUAAGAUUAUUCAAUUAAGAAUAUACAAAUGAGUGUUAAUUGGGUUUAAAAGAUUUACAAGCAAAAUAUAAGUUCUUUGUUAGAAUUCUCAUGGAUUUGAUAAAAAGUUAAUACUUCAUUCGUAUUCAUUACAUGAGCAUACAUAUAUUCUUUAUCGACAUAAUGGUAUGUUUAUUUAGGUAACAGGUCCAUCAAACAUUCAGGAAGAUCAUUAGUUAGGACUCAACUUUGUGAAGCUUAUGUAAAUAUUUAACUUAAAACAAAAGGGAAUUAACGUGUUUAUGUAGUAUACUUUUGUGCAAACCUUGAUGUAUUUAUAAAGGUUUAGCUUAGCAUGUAGUAUUUUUAGUUAUCUAGUAAUUAACCAUCUUGAAAUAUUUAAGAACACUUCUUAUAUUGUAAAUACUUUCUUUGCAUGUUAGUAUUCCUUUUCCUUUAAAUUUUAUGAUAUGAUGUGUUGGACUAUGUUCAUAUUGAACUUACUUAUAGGAUAUAUAUAUAUAUUGUGUGGAUUGUAUGAGGUGUGGAAUUAUGAGGUUUGAUAUAAGGUCCGGAAUUAAGGGACUUUGUGAUGAUGGGUUGAUUGAGUAAACUGAUAGUAGUCGAUAACUUGGGAUGUCCUAACUGCAAACGAAACUCUGCCGAUUUUUGGAAAAAAAAAAAUUACCCUCAAAUAAAGAGGAUAUGUUGGAAUCUUUUAACAUUGAUCGAGUCAUACAGUCGGACUAUUACAGAGGAGGUCAUUGCAGACCCCCCUAUUUGUUUGGAUUUUCCGGCGGCGACAUGUUAACCCACUCGCCGCUAGUGGCGUGGCGCGUGGAGGAGACGCGCCGCCACUGUUCCAGCGCCCAGAAACCUUCCGCCACUGUUCCGGCGGAUCUUAGAGGAUGUUCCCAGCAAUUCCUGGAGUUUUGGGGUUUUAUUGUGUAAUUUUUGAAUUGUAUUUGAUUUAUUAUGAGUUUUGUUUUUUUUACAUGUAAAAGAUGGUGUAUGAGAAAAUCAUAAUAAAAAGAGAUGUGUGUGUGUGUUUGUAUUUUUAUUUAUGUUAUUGAAUUGUAAAAAUAAAAAAGAUUAAAAGAAUUAAGUGUUUAAUUUGAUUAUAGUUAAAUAUCUCAAGGACAAAUAAAAUCAUGUUAUAUUUUCCAUGAAAGUGUAAGAACAUGUUUCUACACAUAUUCGAGGAUUUAAUAACUGAUUUAUUAAAACCUUAGAAUUUAAUGAGUAUUUUAAAUUUUCAAAUCACAUCAAAUCGCAAAGCAACUUACCUCAGGUAGGGUGCGCUAGGGGUGCUAAUACCUUCCCUAGCCACAAUCAGUCCCUUACCCUAGAAUUUCUGACAACGACUAGUAAAUCUGGGUUUCCUAGUAACCUUCAAUGAAAUACUAGGUGGCGACUCCAAAGAACCAAUCAAGCAAACAUAACGAAAAAUCGUCGAAUCGUCGCGCGGGGGACGUGCGACAAUCCUAACACCAUUAGUGAAACCUUUUCUCCUUGACAUAAUAAACUUAGCUAAACAUAAUGAAGAAGAGAAACAUAAAUAAACAAGAGAAGAACAUGAUUAUAUAAGUAUAGUAAAGGAAAUGAAAGGUAUAAACAAGAUAUUAAUGAAAGCAAAACUUAAGCAUUUCAAAAAUAUAAAGAAAGAGAGCAAGAACAUGAUCUUGAUCUUGAUUUGAAAACUAAGAUGCCUAAAUACAUGGCAAAUGCCUCCUUUUACAGGCCAAAAUUUAGAAUUAUUGAUUUGAUAACUAAUUGUUAAGUGGGUGGCCACCUCUUGACUUUGUGACAAUUCUUAUCUUCUUGUCUGCCAAAAACGUUAUUGCUAACAUCAGAAUUUGAAUAAAUAGUCUUCAUGAAAGUUUUGGGAAAUUGUCUUAUUUUUCCAACAAAAUAAAAUUGAGGUCAUUUAGACUUCUAGAACUCGAGAUAUGGGCUGAACACUGAAUAGUGUCUAGGCUGCAGGACAGAUUCAGACUUCUCUUUUGAUGCUAAGAUUUGGACUUCCAAACGGCAGAAUAGAGUCUUGGACUCCGCAUGAAUGUUUUAGGCCUAUGUCUUAGCUUUCUAGCCAUAUAAACCAAACUGAAAUCCAAGAUCUACAGCUCCAGAUAUGACCUAAUGACUGAAUAGUGUUCCAGUUUGAAUUAAAUCACCAUCUCUUUUCUAAGCUUAGCCUUUUCUUUAUCCUUUCACUUUCAAUAGUUAAUCACAUCAAUCAAUCAUUUGAAUUGUGAGAUAUGUCUGCAUUUAAAUGAGCAUUUACCAUAAAUUAAAGCUAUCUUAUAGUAUUAGAUAUGUUAUUAUAAAACAUGCUCUAGUUAAGGAGUUAUUGAUACUUCAAGUGCAAAAUGAUGAUAUAAAACCUUGAUAAAAAUGCAGUUUUAAGUACUAAUCACUCCAUGAGUCGAAUAGAAUGGUCAAAUAAGGAAAGCCGUAAAAAGGUGAGAUUGGAUUUGAGCCUUAGUUUGUAAAAACUUGUGUCUUUUGGUUUUAUUAAUAGCAUGUUAUUUUGUUUUGUUAUUUCUUAUAUUUGUUUAAGUGUGUUUCAGGUUUGUCAUUGUUCUUUAUUUCAAGUGAUGUCUUCUAUAUUUUAUCUUUUUACCUUAGGAUAUUAAGGACAAUGUCUCGUUUUGGUUGAGAAGAGAUGGUAGUAGUUGAUAUUAAAAAAAAAUUAACUAUGUUUUCUAUUUCAUAAACCAUUUGCAAACCUGUUGUUACUAGGAUGACAGAGUAAAGAAGUUCUUUUGUUAAAGUGACUAUUGAGACGCAUCUUAGUAAACAUUCUUAAUAAGGUCUAUCAGAAUACUUCUUGAAAUAUUCAGGUUUACAAACUCUCGCAUUGUUGUCACUUGAUUCUGCUCAUAUACUCGUUUACAAGUAUUUUUAAACCUUGAUUUUUACACACACACUUUAACAUUUGAUUGUAGGUUGCAUAUUUGAUUAUUACAUUAUUUAUGUUCUUUUGUUAAAGGUAACAACUAAGGGAAAGAGAUAGUAUAUAAUUUGCAAAAAACAAAAAACCAAAAAAAAACCAAAAAACUAAAAACUAAAAGAAAUUAAUUAUAUUGAUGAUAAUAAAAACGUAGAUAAGUUUGGUUUCGUAGCCUCCCUAACCUAAGCAAUUAAGCCCGAAGGGGUGUUUUAACACCUAAUACCCUAAAGUCAACUGACUUGGGAGCUAUUAGCCCAAUGCUUGUUACAUGGGUUAAGGAGAAAAGCUUAAGAGAAUCAAACAUUGCACUAUCUAUGUAUCAGUAUCUACAACCCGAGUUACUAAGCUCGUAGGGGUGUCUCAACACCUAAUGCCCUAAGACCAACUGGUCUGGGAGUCAUUAGUUGAAAGCUCGUUACAUAGGUUAAAGAUGCAUUGUAUUUUAAGUUAUCUAUAUAUAUAUAUAUAUAUAUAUAUAUAUAUAUAUAUAUUAAAAAAAAGAGAAAAAAAAAAGAUAAUAAUCCCAACCCAAGGAAGUUAACCUUAGAAAAACAUUAGAACAAAAUUGUGUUUUCAUCCAAGCAAAGCCCCAUAACUAUGUGUUGAUAUAUUGAGCACAAAAGGAAGGUUUAUCAAUAUCUUGUUUAAGAAGUAUGGAGUAGAUAUAUAAAUUUAAUAAGAGUUUGUUUAUUUAGAUAGAUUAAUGGAAGUUGAAUGAUGAAUGCCUUGCUUUGUGGAACUUGCAAAUUGUUUUUCUAUUUUAACACUUUGAUUACUAGGGACUAGUAAUAAGCUAGUUGGGGGGUGUGAUUAGUACUUAAAAGUGCAUUUUUAUCAAGGUUUUAUAUCAUCAUUUUGCACUUGAAGUAUCAAUAACUCCUUAACUAAAACAUGUUUUAUAAUAACAAGUCUAAUAAUAUAAGAUACCUUGAAUUUAUGGUAAAUGUUCAUCUUAAAUGCAGGCCUAUCACAUAAAUAAAAAGAUUGAUUGAUGAGUUUAACUACUGAAAUUGAGAAGACAAAGAGAGAGCUAAGCUUAGAAAAGAGAUACUGAUUCAAUUCAAACUGGAAUACUGUUCAGUCAUUGGGUCAUAUCUAGAGCUGUAGAUCUUGGAUUUCAGUUUGGUUUAUAUGGCUAAAAAGCUAAGACAUAGGCCUAAAACAUUUAAGAAGAGUCCAAAACUCAAUUUUGCCGUUUGAAAGUCCAAAUCUUAGCAUCAAAAGAGAAGUCUGAAUCUGUCCUGUAGCCUACACAUUGUUCAGUGUUCAGCCAUAUCUCGAGUUCUAGAAGUCAAAAUACACCGAUUUAUUUUUUCUUGGAAAGCUAGGACAAUUUUCUAGAACUUUCAUGAAGACUAUCUGUUCAAAUUCUGAUGUUAGCAAUGACGUUUUGUUCAGACAAGAAGAUAAGAAUGUAAAUGUAAUUAGAAUAUUUUGCAAUAAAAUAAAUUAUAAUUAAAUCUUUGAAUAAAUUCAUUAAUCAACGUUAAUGUUACUGAAACAACAUUAAAUUAAUCACUGAACAAGUUGAUUAAUUCAAACAACACGCAUUCAAUCAAUAUAAUGGUCUUGAAGAUAAGUGAUUAAUGAACGUUAAACAAUUCAACAAGUUGAGAUUAGAAACAAGUUGAUUCAAACAGCACGCAUUCAAUCACCAUAUCAUGGUGUGUAUCUUGGACAAGCGGAAAGCACUUGUCCCCGUUUUGUCUUUUAAAAACCCUAAUGCUCCUACUUUCGGUGGAGUUUAGCUUCUUUUUUUUUUACUUAACCUUUCUUAUUAAUAUCACAUGCAAAGUUUUUAAAACAACAUUAUUGUACACAUAAGGUGAAAAUGACAGGGAAUUGACCUCUCCUCACUAUUAUUUUCCUGCUUUCGUAAAGUUUUUUAUAGCUCUAUAUUCUAUCUCGUGCUGAGAGUGUUUCCAAAAGCACUGAAACGUGUGGUGCUAAACGACAAGGCAGAAUAAGGUUAAAGGGAUCUAUUUUAAAAUUUUACUCUUAAGGUGUACAGUGGAAAUCGACUCUCCCUUGUUAAUUUCUAAAUUAACCAUCUGAAGAGGUUUUUUUCUUCUUGUAUAUUAUUGUUUUAAUAAAAACAAUAUAAAAGAAGAAAAGGAUAAAAGUAAAACCAGAGAAAGAUUAAGAAUACCAAGAGAGUGUGGGAUUGGUAAUGCAAUAUAAGAUUUUUUUAAAAAAAAAUUAUUUUUUUGUUAAAAAUAUAUUUAAAUAAUUUUUUUAAUAUUUUACAUCAUAUAUUAGAAUGAUAAAAAAAAAAACACCAUGUAAACUAUUAUCAUUAUAUUUGUUUAUCAUUAUCUUUAUAUUGUAUUAUGCAUGCUAUCUUAAUUAUGUCAUCAAAUUGCAUUUUUUUUAUGGGAAUUGCUGCUCUAACUCGGAAGUUAGAAUCCAUGUAAACUAUUUUGUUUUAAUACUUCUCCUCUUUUCAACAUAAAGUCGUUCUUUUAUAAAUAUAUUCAUUAGAUUGAUGAUAUGCUAUCUUUUCUUUUUAUUGGUUUUGAGAAAGAAAAAAAAAAGUAUUUCUAUCCUUUUAUGGAAAAGCACAGAGAUCUAAGAACUAUUGUGUAAAUAACUGUUAGGGUAAGUGUGAAUUUUAACACAUGGCAUGGAUAGCUAUUGAUGAGGGGAGAAAGGGAUUACAAGUCUGGUUUGGAUAUAAAUUAUACAAAAUCUGACCAUAGUUUCCAUUGCCAUCUCUGUUGAAUAUUCUUGGCACAAACAGCUCAUUUCAAACCAGUUGUCCCUGUUUUGUAUUUUAAAAACUCUAAUUAAAUAUUAAAUUAACACACAAAAAAAAAAAAAACUAAAUGAGAAGGGUUUUUUUUAUUAUACCCUUCCUCACAAACACAACCUUCAACUCUACUAUAGUUGAUGUGAUGGGUCAAUUAUUUCUAACUACGGCAUAACAUUAUACUUCAUGUUUUAAUAUUAUAUUAGUAAUAACAACUCCUUUUAAUUUAUUAGUUCAGAUAUAUAUUUACUUUGUUUUAUAAAAUAUAAAUAGUAUAUUUUCAUGUCUCAAUUAAAAAAAACAUUAAUUAUUGGACUUCAUAAUUUAUUUUGGUGUGUUUUUCAUAAAGUUAUUGUGGUCUUAAACAAACAUCUCGAUAUUUGUUUGAGCGUUAAUUUUUUAAUCAUAUCAUUAAAUAAAAAUAUUUUUUAAAACAAUUACUAAAUUUAGUGAAGUCUAUAACUCGAAUCACGAAUUUAACGGGUUAAAAUUAUUGUUGGAAAAGCUAAUAUUAAAAUUAUUAUUUUAGUAUUAUCAUCAAAUAAUUUUUUUAUAUUUUAAAAAAUUUAUUUAACUCGGCGGAGUAUAGUUAAAUGGAAUGGUAUAAUUUAGAUCUUGAGACACUAACGUCAGCUGAACUACUUCUAGUUUGGAUCUUGAGACACUAACGUUAGCUAAACUUAUUUCCAGUUUGAGAGUAUGGUUGUGGUUGCUUUUUAAAGUGUUUUUCAUGUUGAAAUGCAUCAAAAUGAUAUUUUUUUUAUUUUUAAAAAAUUAGUUUUAAGAUCGGUGCAUCAAAACGAUCCAAAACAUAAAAAAUAUAUUAAUUUUUAACCAAAAAACAAUUUAAAUUUUUUAAAAACACGAAUUGAUCCACGUUUCCAAACUCUCUGGAUUGAUAUGCUUUAAAUGAGCAAUUAAAAUAUCAAAGGAUUUCCGGGACACUCCCAAGACGUUUAAUGGUAUAUUUAAUGUUUGUCCCUAUUGAGAUUACGACAAGACCAAAUAGAAAAGUACUAGUUACAUGCCCCGCGCGAUGUUGCGGGUCAAUUAUUUUUUGCAUUUCAAAAAAAGUUAAGAUCUAAAAGUGUUAGAUUUUUUUGCAAAGUUAUACCCAAGAGUCUUAGGUUUGGUUGCAACGCCUGAUCCAAGAGUAAUAUUUAUAAAAGUGUUAGGUUUUUUUGCAAAGUUAUACCUAAGAGUCUUAGGUUUGGUUGCAACGUCUGACCCAAGAGUAAUAUUUAUAAUUUUAAUAAUAACAUUAAACUUGCAUGACCCAAAUUUAAGUGGGUUUGACUGCAAUACCAGACCCAAUAGCAUUGGACGUGGGUCUGGCUGCAAAGUCGUGUCAUAAAAGUGUGAUAAUUAAAUAGAUUAGUUAAAAAGAAAAAAAACAACAGGAAGAAAAAAACUAAUGAAGAAAAAGAAAAAAUAUAUGAAUUAAUUGGGUUAACCCUUCAAACCAGGUUAACCCGUCAUACCUUGAAUUCGCAUCGUGAAAGUUUGAUAAUUAAAAAGGAAAAAAAAAUUAAUGGGUUAACCAAGAAUUAACUCGGCUAACUCGUCAAACCAGGUUAACCCGUCAAACUCAGAAUCCGUGUCAUGAAAGUUUGAUAACUAAAUAGAAAAAAAAAAUUAACAUUAACAAUUUAAAUUAAACAAAAAAAUUAAUUAAAAAAAAAAGCAUUAGCCUUUUCACUGUGGACUGCAUUGUCCAGUCCACAGUCAAAGGCAUAAAAACAACAAAAAAAGAAAAAGAAAAACUAAAGGCAUCAGCCGAUAACUACUUAGAAAAAAAUUUAAUAUUAAUAAACUAAAUUAAUUAAAUAAAAUUAAUUAAAAAUAAAAAAGAAAAGAAAAAAACUCUAAAAACAAAAAAAAAACUAAAUAGAAAGAAAUUUAACAUUAACAACUAAACUAAACGAAAAAAAUAAUUAAAAAGAAAAAAAAAAGCAAAAAAAAAUAUUCCAGGUUAACUCGUCAAACCAGGUUAACCCGUUAAACCCAGGAUUUGUGUCAUGAAUGUCUGGUAACUAAAUAAAAAAAAAAAGUGAACAUUAACAAACUGAACUAAACGAAAAAAAUUAAUUAAAAAGAAAAAAAUAAAAAAGAAAUGUUGGUUAACUCGUCAAACCAUGUUACCCCUUAAACCCAGGAUCUGUGUCAUGAAAGUCUGAUAACUAAAUAAAAAAAAUUAUGAAAAUAAAAAAACAAAAAACAAUUGACGGGUCAACCCAGAAUUAACUGGGUUCGCCCGUGAAACCAGGUUAACCCGUGAAACUCGGGAUAUGUGUCAUGAAAGUGCAAAAAAAAAAAUUCUAGGUUAACUUAUCAAAUCAGGUUAACCCGUUAAAUUCAGAAAACGUGUCAUGAAAGUCUGAUAACUAAAUAAAAAAAAUUUAACAUUAAUAAACUAAAUUAAACAAAAAAUUUUGUUAGAAGAAAAAAAACAAAGAAAGAAGCUAAAAAAUAAUCCCAAAAGGCAUAAAAAAACAGCUAAAAAAACAAUUUAAAAAAAAAACCUAAAGCAUCAGUGUUUUAGUGUGGACUGCAUUGUGCUGUCCACGGUAAAACACUGAUUCGUUUUAGUAUAUGUUACAAUUUAUAAAAUAUUUUAGUUUUUAAGUUUGAUUUUAUUCCUUUUUAUUUUCGGUUGGGAUCAUAUUAAACCAAUCAAAUUUUGUUUUUCAAAUUUUUCAUAUUAAAAUUAUCUAAUAAACUCAAAAUAAAUCAAACUAUCAAAAGAUGAGCUUACUUUCUCUUUUUUUCUUGUCUCGCACUUGUCUCUGUUUUCUCUUUUAAAAACCUUUGUUAUUUAAUAUCACAUGCAAGGUUUUUAAAACGAACAUUAUUGUACACAUAAGGUGAAAAUGACAGGGAAUUGACCUCUCCUCACUAUUAUUUUCCUGCUUUCGUAAAGUUUUUUAUAGCUCUAUAUUCUAUCUCGUGCUGAGAGUGUUUCCAAAAGCACUGAAACGUGUGGUGCUAAACGACAAGGCAGAAUAAGGUUAAAGGGAUCUAUUUUAAAAUUUUACUCUUAAGGUGUACAGUGGAAAUCGACUCUCCCUUGUUAAUUUCUAAAUUAACCAUCUGAAGAGGUUUUUUUCUUCUUGUAUAUUAUUGUUUUAAUAAAAACAAUAUAAAAGAAGAAAAGGAUAAAAGUAAAACCAGAGAAAGAUUAAGAAUACCAAGAGAGUGUGGGAUUGGUAAUGCAAUAUAAGAUUUUUUAAAAAAAAAAUUAUUUUUUUGUUAAAAAUAUAUUUAAAUAAUUUUGCAAACUAACUUCAUCAAGUUUUAAAAAGAAAAGGCAAAGAAAAACCAGCGAAUUGACCAUAUCAAAUAAAGUCGCGUACGAGAGAACCUUUAUUAUUAAUAUCACAUGCAAAGUUUUUAAAACAACAUUAUUGUACUCUUAAGGUGAAAAUGACAGGGAAUUGACCUCUCCUCACUAUUAUUUUCCUGCUUUCGUAAAGUUUUUUUUAGCUCUAUAUUCUAUCUCGUGCUGGGAGUGUUUCCAAAAGCACUGAAAUGUGUGGUGCUAAAAGACAAGGCAGAAUAAGGUUAAAGGGACCUAUUUAAAAAUUUUACUCUUAAGGUGUACAGUGGAAAUCGACUCUCCCUUGUUAAUUUCUAAAAUUAACCAUCUGAAGAGGUUUUUUUCUUCUUGUAUAUUAUUGUUUUAAUAAAAAUAAUACAAAAGAAGAAACGGAUAAAAGUAAAACCAGAGAAAGAUUAAGAAUACCAAGAGAGUGUGGGAUUGGUAAUGUAAUAUAAGAUGUUUUUUAAAAUUAUUUUUUUGUUUAAGAAUAUAUUUAAAUAGUUUUUUUAAUAUUUUACAUCAUAUAUUAGAAUCAUAAAAAAAAAUCACUAUGUAAACUAUUAUCAUUAUAUUUGUUUAUCAUUAUUUUUAUAUUAUAUUAUGCGCGUGCUAUCUUAAUUAUGUCAUCAAAUUGCAUUUUUUUUUAUGAGAAUUGCUGCUCUGACUCGUAAGUUAGAAUCCAUGUAAACUAUUUUGUUUUAACACUUCUCCUCUUUUCAACAUAAAGUCCUUUUUAUAAAUAUAUUCAUUAGAUUUGCCAUCUCUGUUGAAUAUUCUUGGCACAAACAGCUCAUAGCUAAGGGAAGCUCGGAUUUCAAACCAGUUUCCAUCCCAUUUUAUAGACCGAAUUCUUACAAUAUCUUCUUCAUCGAUCGAUAAACCGAUUCUGGAGGACCACAAUAUGAUGGUGUAUCUUAGAGCACCACAUCAAAAGAUAAGAAAUUCCUCGAAGAUCACCAUAAUAUCAUGGUGUGUAUCUUAGACAAGCGAAAAGCACUUGUCCCCGUUUUGCCUUUUAAACCUUCAAAGAUUUGUGUCCAGGGGGGCAUCAAGUUUUAAAAAGAAAAGGCAAAGAAAAACUGGCCCGACCACCAUUUCAAAAGAUAAGCUUACUUUCUUUCUUUUUCCCAUCUCUCACUUGUCCUUGUUUUGUAUUUUAAAAACUCUAAUUAAAUAUUAAAUUAACCAAAAAAAACUAAAUGAGAAGGGUUUUUUUAAUUAUACCCUUCCUCACAAAACACAACCUUCAACUCUAGUACUAUAGUUGAUGUGGUGGGUCAAUUAUUUCUAACCAAGGCAUAACAUUAUCAAAAUAAAUUAAUAAACCGUGAGGUGGUGAGGUGAUUUUAUGAUGGCACCAUUCACUAUGAAUCCUCUUACAUUUUAUUAUGAACGGUAGUAGUGAUUUUUUUCUUUUAAUGCUCAAACAUUUUUUUUCUUCUUAAUUUUAUUAUUUUGUGGUCAAAUUGAUGGCCAAUUGUUUUUGAUUUGUUAUGAAAGGGUAAGAUUAAAAGAUAGGGGACCAAAGAGAAAAGAACAAAAAAAAUAGGUGGCAGUUUCAAAAUUAACAUAAAAAGUUCACUUUGUUUGAAUUAACAUAAAAUAGGUGGCAGCUAUAUCUGCUGACUAGUUAUUCAUGGUGAAGUGAUAAUCUCUUCUUUUGUUCUACUGAAAUUCUUGAUGUUUAGGCUGGGAAUAAAUUUAGCUCCUCUUGUUUACCUAGAAAACUGAGGGAAAGUAGCUGAAAUAAUUUGAAACCAUUUAAGAUUUUUGUCAGUUUAGUUUAUUCGUUCACUUUCCUGUAGUUUCUGAGAUAGUACCAAACACAUUGUUAUGUGUUGAAUAAAUAAUUAACCACCGAUUAAAGCAGAAGGAACAUUUGUGUUUGAAUCCUGAGAAAAUUGAGUCGGAAAAUAAAGGGAAAUUUUUGCAUUUUAUGAAGUUUUUUUUCUUAGUUAUGAUGAUUUAUUUUUUUGGAGGCCCCUAAAAGUGGAAUAAUGGUCCCAAAAUUUACAAUGUUUUCCUGCAAUCAAACAGUGCUUUGGAAGAUAAUUGUUAGAAGAUAAAAUAAUUUGUUUUUUUAUUAAUGUAAAUCUGCUUUUCUCUAUAUCACAAUACUUUUAACGAAGUUUUUUGUUUUUUUGUUUAAGCCUUUUUUUUUUUAAUAUUUCAAUCUCUAAUAUUCUUUUGUACUUUCUUUCUAUGGGAUUUAUCUUUCUUUUUUAAAUAAUAAGGAUUGCCUCAAAGUUUUUUUUUUCUGUCUUUGUUAAAUUUUGCUUCUUUAAAAGGGAUUUUUUUUAAUUAAAUUAAUUUUUUUGAUUUCAUUCUCUUGCAUUUAAUUUGAGGCAAUACCUGAAAGAAUUUUGUUUCUCUAAUUAAUUUUUUUAAAAAAAUUAUAUUCUUUGUUUUUUUAUUUUUUUCUAUAGAGUUAUCCUGAUAUUAUAUCUUGGGUCAUAGAUUCAAUAGGUUUACCAAGGUUGAUUUAAGUUUUUUUUUUAAUUUCUUUUUAAUAUUUUUUUAUCUCAAGUCAAUGACUAAAAUCUUAAAUUUCAAAAAAUUGCAUUGUCAAUAGUGUUUUUUUUUACUUGGUUUUUUUUAAUCUAUAUUUUUUUUUUUAAUUUCAAACUUCAACAUUUAGUUUAUUGAAGACUGGGCUUCAUAAUUUAUUAUUGCUUGCUUUAUAUAUUGUUAGCUCAAUCUCUUUACACUAUAAACUAAAAGAGGUGAUAGAUUUACUAUUCACCACCUCACAAGACACAAUUCAUUUCAAUAGUUUUUUUUUAAAAAAAUCUAUAUUUCUUUAUUCCUUGAUUUCAUACUUCAACAUUUAGUUUAUUAUAGACUAGGCUUAAUAAUUUAUCAUGGUUUGUCUUAGUCUCAUAACUCGUAUUACGGGUUUAAUUGGUUAACUCAGUUUUUUUGUCUUUUUUAAUUGCUAUUUUUUCAAUUUCACCAUUCAACAUUGGAUUGAUUAUGAAUUAGACUUCAUUAUUUAUUUUGGUUUACUUUUUAUGAGGUUAUCUUGGUUUUAUGACUUAGGUUACGUGUUUUGUGAGUUAAGCCGUGUAGACUUGGGUCGUUUUAUUGUAUAAUGUUUUUAGAUUGAUUUUUUUUUAUUUCAACCUUUAACAAUAAAUUUAUUGAAAAUUGAGUUUCAUAAUUUAUUUUGAUUAACUUUCUACAGAAUUAUCAUAAUUUCAUGACCUUGGUCGCGGGUUUGGCAGGUUAACUUAGGUUGACUCAAGCUAUUUUUUGUUUACUUUUUAUGAGGUUAUCUGAGUUUCAUUACCCAGAUCAUAGGUUUGACGAAUUAACCUGAGUUGAAUAUGAUCCUUUUUUUUAAUUUUAUCCUUCAACAUUGAGUUUGCUUAUCCCGGGUCACGAGUUAACUCAGCUUUGUUUUGUCCAUUUUUUAGUUGGUUUUUUUUUUUCUCAAUUUCAUCCUUCAAUAUUUGGUUGGUUUGAAAUUAGACUUCAUAUUUUAUCUUAUUUUAUUUCUUUCUAUGAGAUUAUUCUAGUCUCAUUACUUGGGUCACGGGUUUGCUAAGUUAACUUGGGUUGUCGCAGGUCUUUUUUUUUUUAUCUUUUUUUAAUUAAUAUUUUUUUUCAAUUUCAUCCUUCAAUAUUUGAUUAAUUAGGGAUUAAGUUUCAUAAUUUGUUUUGAUUGCUUUUUAUGGGGUUAUAUUAGUCAUAUAACCCGGGUUGCAGUUUUGACAAGUGAACCCUAGGUGACUCGAGUUCUUUGUUUUUUUUUCUCUUUUUUAAUUGUUUUUUUUUUCAAUUUCAUCUUUCAAUAUUGGUUUAAUUGGGAAUUGGGUUUCAUAUUUGGUUUUUUUUUCAAUUUUGUUUUUAUUAGAAAGCACACUUAACAAAUAAUAAUUUAGUCUUGAUAAAACUAAUGAAUCAUUCCAUAGUUUCAAUAACAAUAUGUUUAAUUCUUAUAUUUUUAGUUAUAUAUAGUUUAGUACUAUCAAUUUCAAGUUCUUUCCCAUGUAUUUUUUCUUCUUCCUUCUUGAAAAAUAGAAAAGGAAAAGAGAAGCAGGCAGUUGGGGAAAUUUCAUUAGGAAGGAAGGUAUUUUAUAUAUAUAGUAAAUUGAGGGUGGUUAACACUAGUUAAUGGGAUGUUUCAUUAUUUAUGAUACUACAAGGACUAGAUAAUUAAUUUUAAUAAAUUACAGCGCUAAUUAGUUAUAAUUAAAUCUUCAUUGACAAAUAGGAUUUUAUUAUUUGUUUUUUGAAGGAGAAUAUGUACAUGCAACAAUCUUUACUGUUCCUUCAUUUAGGAAUAUAGAAUUCAAAUAUGGUUUUAAGAGUAUAUAUUUAUAGGGUACAAAUCUGUUUGUAUAAGCAAUAUUUUCAUAAAUUUAUCAAUUCUGCAGCUGGAAAAAAGAAAUAGACUCAAUAUUCCACCUGAGAAAACCGAUAAAAUGAAAGAAAAGAGAAUUCUUUCUUUAUCCAUUAGACCACAAAAAUUUACAUAUAACACAAUUUUAGUUAGAGCACUACAACUCAACUGUUAUAUUAUCUUAAUUAACAAAAAAUUCCAUCAUAUAAUAAGCUAUAGACUUAGCUGGGUUUUAAAAAACUCCUCUUUUACGUUUCUAUGUUUUCAUGAACAUUGAAAAAGGAGCCAUGGUUGACUUUCUAUCUGUUUCUUUCUUUUCUUGGAGGAGAAAGAGAGGAUUGCGCUACUUGUUUCUUUUCAUUUUCUUGAAAACCAAAUAGAAAGUUCUUGGUUGAUUUCUAGCCAAUAGUCUUUUUUCUCUUAUUAACUCGGUUUCUUUGGGUGCUGAUCGACUAGUUAUUUUUGUGAAGUAAUAAUCUAUUCUUUUAUUCUACUUAAAUUCUUGAUGUUUUUGGCAGGGAAUAAAUUUAGCUACUCUUAUUUACCAAGAAAAUUGAGGGAAAGUAAAAAAAAUAAUUUAAAACCAUUUAAGAUUUUUGUCAGAUUAGUUUAGUCUUUCCUGAAGUUUUUAAGGUCAAGGGAGUAGCCAAUCAAAAAGGAAGGAUUGCAAUGAAAAAUUCGGUACAGCUCUUUCAUUUCGCACUUGAGAGACAAUCUAUUGGUUGUAAUGAGGAGAUAUGGUUGAACAAGUGGCUACGAUCUAUUGGCUCAUCGGACUACCUUAUCUCCAAGUCACAGAUCCUUUCUCUUAAUUGGUUUUUUUUUUAAUUUGAAACUGUAAUUUGUUUCAAAGCUACAAAUACCUGGAUUUUUUUCUUCCUUUUCUUUCUUAUUUUCUUUCUUUCUUUUCUUUCCAUGGAGAAAGAGGAUUGUGCUACUUUUAUUUUCUUCAUUUUCAAAGCUACAAAUCAUGUUUGAGAGAAAGAAACAAGGUUUGUAAUAAAAUUACGUAGACUUACAUUUAUUAUAUACUAAGGAAAAAAAAUAUAUUUUUGUCUAAUUUGCUUUUUCCUGUUGAACAAGGAGGCAGAUCAUAAUUUCCCAAACUAUAGAUUGAAAAAAAAAAAAAAAAACAGACGAAAAGUAUAGGAGAUUUUUUUUUAUUAUACCUAAAAGUUAUUAAGGAAAGAAUAAAAAUUCAACAAUAGUGUACCAAAGUAUAAAAUAAAAAGAAAUCCAAUAAUCAAUCUUAAAUUUGUUAAAAAAUGUUAUGUUUAGUUCACGUAUUUUUUUUUAUUCUACAGUUCCUUUAGUUUUUACAAUUUUAAUUUUAGUUCAAAAUUUUAUUUUUUUAACAUUUUAAAUCCUUGAGUUUAAAAAAUAAGAGAGAAAGUCGUUUGAAAACAAUGAAAAAAAAGGUGAAGUUUGUGAAUAAGAACUUUUUCAAAAUAAAACUCAUCGUUUUUUGUAUCAACGAGUUUUAUUAUACGAGAGAAGCUUGAUAGUGGUAGUUUAUUUCUAUAAACAAGCCUGAAAAAUAUAUUGAGUUUCAUUUAGAUUUUUUUAUUUGGUUUUUUUUUUAUUUUUUGAAUGAUUUUGGGAUUUUAUUUUUAAUAUAUAAAAUCCCAUUAUUUCCUUGCUUUCGUCAGGACCGCUGAAAUAAGGUAAAGUUUUUUUUAGCAAGAACAUGAUUUUAUGGCCUCAAUCAGAGAGGUAAUGUGUGGUGCUAAAAGACAAGGCAGAAUAAGGUGUAUAGUGGAAAUAGACUCUCCCUAGUCCCUAGUUAAUUUCUAUAUUUCCAUCAAACCUAUUUUAGGGUUUGAACUUGAACCAUCUGAAGAGGUUUUUUUUUCUUGUAUAUUAUUGCUUUAAUAAAGAUAACAAAAAAGAAAAGAAAAGGAUAAAAGUAAAACCAGAGAAAGAUUAAGAAUGCCAAAUGAGUGUGGGAUUGAUAUUGUAAUAUAAGAUGUUUUUUUAAAAAUAUUAAUUUAAAAUAAAUAAAUAAAUAAAUAAAAUUUAAUUUUUUAAAAAAAUACUUGUAAAAUAUCUAAGUAAUCAUUCAAAUUAUUUUAUUUUCUUAAAAGAAAAAAAAAGUCGCGUACGAGAGAACCUUUGUUAUUAAUAUCACGUGCAAACUUCUUAAAACAUUAUUGAAAUCAUUAUAUAUUGACCAUUAUAUUAUUGUCCUCGUGAAAAUGACAUCUUCUCACCAUUAUUAGAAGAACAGGAGAGUGUUUUGAAAAGCGGGGACAGAGUGAGAAACAAGAACAUGAUUUUAAGGCACGUGGUCAGUUAUUGAUAUAUUAAAAUCAUAAAAAAAAUAUUAAUUUAAUAUAUUUUCAAACAAAACUCAUUCAAAUUCAAUUAAAAAAACAUUAGAAAAAAAAAAUGUAAGGAGGAGAUAAGGUUGAACAAGUGACGAUAAUCUAUUGAAUUCUCGGAUUACCUUAUUUUCAUGUCACAGGUCCUUUCUCUUAAUUGUUUUCUAAAUUUGAAACUGUAAUUUGUAAUUGUAAUAUGCGAGGGUAAUCACAGCAACUCAAGAGAAAAACAACACCCUAUUAAAUCAAAUUAAAAAAAAAAAACAAUUUGAAACAUCGAAGGGUGAAAUAGAAAAAAUAAAAGGACUGAAAUGAAAUAAAACCUUGGUGGAUGCUAUCAAUAGCCUUGUUCUUUUAGCUUUCUGUAUGAUGUAAUGGGCAGGUCUUAUUACUUGAGUGUGUGAUGCAAGAGAUAGUCAUUGCAGAUUUUAGUUGCCUAAGUUUGAUCCUUUGUGGAGUUCCUUGUAAGUCUCUUUUUUUUUCUCUCCUUAUUCAUAAUUUUCGAGAAAAAAAAACAUUUACCGAUCAUAGCUUUAGAUUAAUGUGUUAUUGGAAGCAAAGAGGAGCUAGUAUCAUGCGUGCAGGUGUCAAAGUGAUCUUCAUCAGCCUUCCAUUCCUUUCUCUCUUUGCUAGGUGAGUACUUGUACAUAUUAUUCUUUUAUUUGUUUGUCAUUAUCUUUAUAUUAUGCUUUUUAUCUUAAUUAUGUCAUAAAUUUGCAUUUUUGUGGGAAUUGCUGCUUUAAACUCUUAAGUGUAAACUAUUUUGUUUCAAUGUAUUCUUUAGAUCGGUGGUAUGCUAUCUUUCACUAAUGAAAUUCUGUUUAUUGGUUUUGAGAAGGAAAAAAAAAAGUAUUUCUAUCUUUGUUUUAUGGAAAAAGCACAUAGAUCUAUGAAAUAGAUAUAUAUUAAAAAAAAGGAUAGAUUAGAUAUUCCCAUUACUCAUGGCAUAGAUAGAGAUAGUCAUUACAGAUUUUAGUUGCCUAAGAUUGAUCCUUUGUUGAGUUCGUUCCUUGCAAGUCUUUUUUUCUCCUCAUGCAGACUAUCUUAAUUAUGUCAUCAAAUUGCAUUUUUUUUAUGGGAAUUGCUGCUCUAACUCGCAAGUUAGAAUCCAUGUAUACUAUUUUGUUUUAAUACUUCUCCUCUUUUCAACAUAAAGUCCUUCUUUUAUAAAUAUAUUCAUUAGAUUGAUGAUAUGCUAUCUUUUCUUUUUAUUUGUUUUGAGAAAGAAAAAAAAAAGUAUUUCUAUCUUUUUUAUGGAAAAGCACAGAGAUCUAAGAACUAUUGUGUAAAUAAUUGUUAGGGUAAGUGUGAAUUUUAACACGUGGCAUGGAUAGCUAUUGAUGAGGGGACAAAGGGAUUACAAUGAUCUAUGAACUAUUGUGUAAAUAAUUGUUAUGUUAGGACAAGGAAUUAAAUGUUUAUCGUUCUGCUUAUACCUUGCCUUGUUGCUCUUGAAGCUGGCUUCCAUACAGAGCUAAAGGCCUUCUCCUUUUGUUCCUCUCGCUAUAUUUUAUUAUUGAGCAGUCAGUACCAGUGCUUUCCGCAUAUAUUUUCACAAAUUAAGGUAAUAAAAUUACUAUUCUUAUUCUCUCAAUGCCUAUUUUACUUGUAAUGACUCACUCUCACGUUCUGUAUCCUUAUUUCUUUGUUUUUCAGACCGGUGGAAAAUGGCUAUCGAAAGUGUUGGUGGAUCCGUUGUAUCCAAGAUAGCAGAGCUCUUGGUGGAACCAGCAAUAAGGCAGUUCCGUUACAUGUUCUGUUUCAACAAUUUUGUUCAAGAAUUCAAUGAACACAAGAAGAACCUGGCUUUGACACUAGAUCGUCUACAAAAUGAUGUCCGAGAUGCUGAAAGGAAUGCUGAAGAAAUUUACAAAUAUGUCAGUAAAUGGCUGGAAGAUGCAAACAACGAAAUUGAAGGUGUGAAUCCUUUGGAAAAUGAAAUAGAAAAAAA